rnacentral:sRNA from 1 species
GGAGAUUCUGGCCAAGCUGGAGAAGCUGCGGAAAGUAACAGGCAACGAGACGCUGGGCCUCGAGGAGGGGGACCUUGAAGACGACUUUGACCCUGCCCAGCACGACCAGCUCAUGCAGACGACUGGAACUGGGACACGUGGGACGGGCCUGAGCAGGAGGGAGACUGGAGCCAGCAGGAGCUGCACUGUGAGGACCCCAACUUCAAUGUAGGUGUCACGGGUUGAGGGAUUCCCAGAGGCCCUGACGUAGGGCUGGUGGGAUCUGACCUGUGCGUCCUGGCAGAUGGACGCCGACUACGACCCCAGCCAGCCGAGGAAGAAAAAGCACGAGGCCCCCUCGAUGGGCAAGAAGAAGCGCAAGUCGCCCUUCGCCGCGGCCGUGGGGCAGGAGAAACCCGUGUUUGAACCCGGUGAGGCCCAGGUGGGCAGACCGUGGGUGGGCAGGGGGCUCCGCGGGGCCUGGCAUAGCCCAGCAGCCUGGCUCUGUCUCGAGCAGGGGACAAGACAUUUGAGGAGUACCUGGAUGAGUAUUACCGGCUGGACUACGAGGACAUCAUCGACGACCUGCCCUGUCGCUUCAAGUACCGCACAGUGGUGCCCUGCGACUUUGGCCUCAGCACUGAGGAGAUCCUCGCUGCUGACGAUAAGGAGCUGAACCGGUGGUGCUCCCUGAAGAAGACCUGCAUGUACAGGUCAGAGCAGGAGGAGCUGCGGGACAAGCGGGCGUACAGCCAGAAGGCCCAGAAC